rnacentral:rRNA from 1 species
GAUGAACGCUAGCUACAGGCUUAACACAUGCAAGUCGAGGGGCGAGCGCAGUGUAGCAAUACACGGGCGGCGAUCGGCGCACGGGUGCGUAACGCGUAUCCAACCUUCCCGUUACUCAGGGAUAGCCCUCCGAAAGGGAGAUUAAUACCUGAUGGUGUUCAAAUUCCGCAUGUUAUUUGAACUAAAGAUUUAUCGGUAACGGAUGGGGAUGCGUGACAUUAGAUAGUAGGCGGGGUAACGGCCCACCUAGUCGAUGAUGUUUAGCGGGUUGAGAGACUGAUCCGCCACACUGGGACUGAGAUACGGCCCAG